GUUAGGUCCAAUUCAAUUCUGCAUCAUGGUUGAUUUAUGUGUCGCUUUUGGACAAUACUAAUCCACACAUCUUUUAUUAUCCUUGUGCUUGUGGCAUUUUUCCCCGUUCAAUGCAUGAGAAACGUAAAAGAACAAGC